rnacentral:rRNA from 1 species
GACGAACGCUGGCGGCGUGCUUAACACAUGCAAGUCGAACGGAAAGGCCCUGCUUUUGUGGGGUGCUCGAGUGGCGAACGGGUGAGUAACACGUGAGUAACCUGCCCUUGACUUUGGGAUAACUUCAGGAAACUGGGGCUAAUACCGGAUAGGAGCUCCUGCUGCAUGGUGGGGGUUGGAAAGUUUCGGCGGUUGGGGAUGGACUCGCGGCUUAUCAGCUUGUUGGUGGGGUAGUGGCUUACCAAGGCUUUGACGGGUAGCCGGCCUGAGAGGGUGACCGGCCACAUUGGGACUGAGAUACGGCCCAGACUCCUACGGGAGGCAGCAGUGGGGAAUAUUGCACAAUGGGCGGUAGCCUGAUGCAGCAACGCCGCGUGCGGGAUGACGGCCUUCGGGUUGUAAACCGCUUCCGCCUGUGACGAAGCGUGAGUGACGGUAAUGGGUAAAGAAGCACCGGCUAACUACGUGCCAGCAGCCGCGGUGAUACGUAGGGUGCGAGCGUUGUCCGGAUUUAUUGGGCGUAAAGGGCUCGUAGGUGGUUGAUCGCGUCGGAAGUGUAAUCUUGGGGCUUAACCCUGAGCGUGCUUUCGAUACGGGUUGACUUGAGGAAGGUAGGGGAGAAUGGAAUUCCUGGUGGAGCGGUGGAAUGCGCAGAUAUCAGGAGGAACACCAGUGGCGAAGGCGGUUCUCUGGGCCUUUCCUGACGCUGAGGAGCGAAAGCGUGGGGAGCGAACAGGCUUAGAUACCCUGGUAGUCCACGCUGUAAACGGUGGGUACUAGGUGUGGGGUCCAUUCCACGGGUUCCGUGCCGUAGCUAACGCUUUAAGUACCCCGCCUGGGGAGUACGGCCGCAAGGCUAAAACUCAAAGGAAUUGACGGGGCCCCGCACAAGCGGCGGAGCAUGCGGAUUAAUUCGAUGCAACGCGUAGAACCUUACCUGGGUUUGACAUGGAUCGGGAGUGCUCAGAGAUGGGUGUGCCUCUUUUGGGGUCGGUUCACAGGUGGUGCAUGGCUGUCGUCAGCUCGUGUCGUGAGAUGUUGGGUUAAGUCCCGCAACGAGCGCAACCCUUGUUCACUGUUGCCAGCACGUUAUGGUGGGGACUCAGUGGAGACCGCCGGGGUCAACUCGGAGGAAGGUGGGGAUGACGUCAAGUCAUCAUGCCCCUUAUGUCCAGGGCUUCACGCAUGCUACAAUGGCUGGUACAGAGAGUGGCGAGCCUGUGAGGGUGAGCGAAUCUCGGAAAGCCGGUCUCAGUUCGGAUUGGGGUCUGCAACUCGACCUCAUGAAGUCGGAGUCGCUAGUAAUCGCAGAUCAGCAACGCUGCGGUGAAUACGUUCCCGGGGCU